AAGUCGUAACAAGGUUUCCGUAGGUGAACCUGCGGAAGGAUCAUUAUUGAAUGUAAAUGGAGUUGGUUGUUGCUGGCCCCUUCACUGGGGCAUGUGCACGCCUCCUCUAUUCAUCCACACACACCUGUGAACUUGUGAGACGGAUAGCCCUCUCGGGGGUUGUCCGUCUGCUAUACAUAAACUCCAGUAUAUAAAUUUGAAUGUAAUUGAUGUAACGCAUCUAUAAACUAAGUUUCAACAACGGAUCUCUUGGCUCUC
rnacentral:misc_RNA from 1 species